AAAAAAAAAAAAAAAACAACAAAUAAAAAACACGAAGUAAAUAUUACAAUAAUAUUGUUUGUGUACGUAACUUUGUCUCUAUAUAUUAUACAAUAACGAAAUUUACUUGUCUUCGUGACGAAACAUGUGCAAUGUCUGUAUGGAUCUGUAUUUAUAUUAUUAUUAUUAUUUUUUUUUUUUUUUUUUUUUUGUUUUUAACUUAAAUAUCGAACACACCCUAGUCAAUAAGUGAUGCUUUAACGCACUAAUUAAUGCACUUAAGUGAUUUUGUAUACUUACAUUUUCAAUUUAUAAAUCUUUAAAACGUUUUCUUUUUAUUUAAAAAAAAUAAAAAAAAAAAAAAGUUUACGAAAAUAUUAUGUGAAACAUUAUCUUUAUUAUUAUACAUUUAUUUGUUAUAUUUUUUUAUUAUUUUUCUUAUUUCAAUUUAAAUAUAUUGUAUUAUAAUUUAUCGUGUAAUAUAUAUAAUAGGCAUUUCAUGACUUUUCAAACAGUAUAUAAUUUUUGUAUUAUGUAAUUAAUUUAUUUUGUAUUAGAAACUUGACCAGUUUAUAUAUUAUAUUAUAUAACAUACUUAAUAUAUUUACCAAAGACAUUAUUUUAGAAAAUCUUGAAAUUCGUUUUAAUAAUAAAAACAAUUUAUAUUAUAUUAUAUUAAAAAAAAAAAAAAAACUAGUGUGGAUAAAACUGUAAAUUAUGC